AUGAUUUUUCUGUGCUCUUGAAUUUAAAAAAAUCAUAAUGUUAGUGCAGUUUGUUUUUCGGCACCUUAAUUCUUUUUGUCCCUUGACUGCACAGAUGGAGAAGGAUGAGACUGUGGGAGAAUCUUCUCCGCAUAUUGCCAACAUUGGCCGCCUUGUGGAGGAUAUGGAGAAUAAAAUUCGUUCUACCCUGAAUGAAAUCUACUUUGGAAAAACAAAGGACAUCGUCAAUGGUCUAAGAUCUAUUGAUUCUCUGCCUGAUAACCAAACAUACCGUCAGCUCCAGAAGGAGCUCUCCCAGGUCCUCACCCAGCGCCAGAUCUACAUUCAGCCAGACAAUUAGGGCUGGAGGAGUAUACAGACACUGGCAGACAAGUCAAUGCAGGAGGCUCUGAAAAACGACCUGAUGGUGGCGCUCAAGCGCAAACAGCAGAGUUAGAGCGCUUUGUCUUCAUUUCUUUGUUGCUGUUCUUCCACGCUUUUUUUGUUUUGUUUCACCUCCUAUUCAAAGCUCUUUGUUCAUAUUUCCCCUUCAGCUCCCACACUCUUGUCAUUGCUCUCAUCUUCAGCAUUCAUUUAAAUGAACAAAACGCUUUUUAAAUGAGUCUUAUUGGAAAUGUCUUUUAAGUCCUCAUUCUCAGUUUUGAUAAGUUAUAAAUAUCGGUGUUACAAAUAUUCUACACAGUAUAGUAACAAUGUUAACUUCCUAAUGCUCAUGUUCUGUUUGUCUCUGGGGGCAGUGAUACACUUUUCCCACAUAGGAAUUUUGCGAGGCAUAUAAGGGACGGCUGAGUGGUUGGGUGACGCAUACAGGUCAUUUUCACUAUUUAUUCUUGUAUUGAAUAUAUAUGACGUAUUUUUACCCCGUAUCUCCUUGAAAAAAGUGCACAUCACACUUCCUGCCGUGAAGGGGUCGGCAGUACACGCCCAGUACCGACCCAUUACGAUCAUUGUUAUCAUCACUGUACUUAUUGGGAAAUUUCUGCCUUUUGCUUUUUCUGUUGUGAAUGCCUGGAGUCAUGGGCAGGCAAAUGGGACAGUGAAUGAACAUAUAAUGAAUGCUCCUUUUAUUACUGUUUGGGUCUUGAAUUUCUUUGUCUUGGGGGGGGCUGUUUUGGUUUCUAUUUAGGUACGUGUUUCUAUUUUUUUGUUUUGUUUUGUUUUUGUAAAGCUUAUUCAUGAAAUAGAGCCUCCCACUCCAAUAAACCCAGGUUAUUAUAUGGCAAGAUU